UCGUUCUACUACAAGGACGACUGCGAGUUGUAUUCUAACACAGCUGAUAUAAAUUGUGGCGGCUUCGAGGAGGCGACCAUCUCGAAAAGGGCCGGUUACUUUCAAGUAAGAAGGAAAUGUAAAGGUUCUAGCUGCCUCUGCACAAAACGAUUCAAAGGGAAAGACUGCACUUUUGACACGGCUUAUACCACGUCUUACCUGCCCAUGGACGAAAUACAGAACAACACGGUGAUCGGCACUGGUCUCAUCCCGACAGUGACUGGUGGGGAU